rnacentral:misc_RNA from 2 species
AACGCACCUUGCGCUCCUUGGUAUUCCGAGGAGCAUGCCUGUUUGAGUGUCAUUAAAUUCUCAACCCCUCCAGCUUUUGCGAGUUGUGAUGGGGCUUGGAUCUGGGAGUUUGCGGGUCUUUAUCAAUAAAGGUCAGCUCUCCUGAAAUGCAUUAGCGGAACCGUUUGCAGUCCCGUCACUAGUGUGAUAAUUAUCUACACUGUGAUGAUUGCUCUCUGACUAGUUCAGCUGCUAAUCGUCCACUACGGACAACACUUAAUGAACUUCUUGACCUCAAAUCAGGUAGGACUACCCGCUGAACUUAA